rnacentral:rRNA from 1 species
UACAGAGGGUGCAAACGUUGUUCGGAUUUACUGGGCGUAAAGCGCGUGCAGGCUGCUUCGCAAGUCGGAUGUGAAAGCCCUGGGCUCAACCCAGGAAGUGCAUUCGAAACUGCAGAGCUGGAGUCCUGGAGAGGAAGGCGGAAUUCUCGGUGUAGAGGUGAAAUUCGUAGAUAUCGAGAGGAACACCGGUGGCGAAGGCGGGUUGCUGGGCUGACACUGACGCUGAUGCGCGAAAGCUAGGGGAGCGAACGGG